CUCGGCCUCCCAAAGUUCUGGGAUUACAGGAGUGAGCCACCGCGCCCGGCCCUUUUUUUUUUUUGUGACGGAGUCUCGCUCUGUCGCCCAGGCUGGAGUGCAGUGGCGCAAUCCCAGCUCACUGCAAGCUCCGCCUCCCGGGUUCACGCUGUUUUCCUGCCUCAGCCUCCAGAGUAGCUGGGACUACAGGUGCCCGCUACCAUGCCUGGCUAAUUUUUUUGCAUUUUCGUAGAGACGGGGUUUCACUGUGUUAGCCAGGAUGGUCUUGAUCUCCUGACCUCGUGAUCCGCCUGCCUUGGCCUCCCAAAGUGUUGGGAUUACAGGUGUGAGCCACCGCGCCCGGUCGAGUUUUCUUCUUUAAUCUGGUGUUGAUCCUGAGAGUGCUUUGUUAAAAAACAUUCUCCAUGCUGACCUCCGUUUUCGAGUCCGCUUCCUGGGGAAACCUGAAACAGGACUUGAUGCUAGCAGCUGCCCAGAAGAACCAGAUGGGCCACUGUCCUUGCCAGAAGAUCUGAUAUCCUGUGUAUGGCCACCACCUAACACUGCUCACUUCUACAUGUAAACCUCAGCCAGAUCUGCUGUUAGAGGAGAAUUCUUCUGUCCUAGCUGUGUCUCUGUGAUCUGUGGAUGAGGGUGGGAAAGCACCACUCAGUCAAUUGGGGUGUACAAAAUGGAGUUUGAGAAGGUCUCACAUCCAGGUUGUUUUGAAGCAAAGUCCAAGCAUUGUAUCACUUCAUCUGCAAAUAUUUCAAUAAGUACCCAAAAGUGGUUGGACUGAGUCCCAUGAAGCCAGAUCACUUCUGACUGCAAGGAGCUUGGAAAAGCAAGUAUCUGGAUCUUUUACCAGCUAAAUUUGGAGAAUUAUUGAUCAAAUUUGGAUCUCUGUGUGCUGUCCUCCAAUUUAAUACUUUCUGUGUUGCUGUUUUAUUUUCUUUCUUCUGGAACCUGGCAAAGUGCGUCAAGCGAUGAGGCUUCCUCUUUGAAGAUCACAGGUGAGAAGAUUAGGUGCUUUCUCAGAAGCCCAGCAACCUGAUGGGAGUGUGGAGUGAGCAAGACCCAAAUCGGAGCUUCAUCCCUGCAUGGUUCAUUUUGCUUAUUUGGCAAACUUGCCCUGCAGGUAAGCAGAUCCAGUGUGACAAUAUCUUCCUGUGCCAGCUGUUCAUGUUUUCAAAGAAGAGAUUCUUUGGGGUUUUGUUUUGUGCCUUGAACCCUUCAAAAGCAAAUGUCCCAAUUCUGACUGGCUUACUACUUGUCCUGCUUCCUGCUCUUCUAAAGAAGAUAUCUGCUGCUUUGGGGGAAAAUUUUCAGCAUGGUUCAAGGUAUUUUAUUUGCUUGCUAUCCUUGAAAGAGACUAGCCAGCUGCUCACAAAUCUCACUUCAUCUCCCUCUUAGAUAUUCAGCUAACCUAUAUUUUUGUUUCCUCUGCCUGUGGCCAUGUGAUUGAUUUCUUAGGAAUAUAAUGUGAAUAGAAGUGAUAUUGUUAUUUCCAGAUCUGGCUCAUAAAAACUUCCUAUGAACAAUUACCAACUUUCCAACAGAGGCUAAAGAAAAUGGAGAAAGUCCAAUAACCAAGGAUUGCAUCUGACCCACUGCAGUACGCAAUCAACUUUAACAAUUAUUGAAAAAGCAGAG
rnacentral:lncRNA from 1 species